AAUAAACGCUGGCGGCGUGCCUAACACAUGCAAGUCGAGCGAGAAAGCUCCUUCGGGAGUGAGUACAGCGGCGAACGGGUGAGCAACGCGUGGGAAUCUACCCUUCAGUGAAGAAUACCCUUGAGAAAUCGAGGUUAAUACUGCAUACGUCCUGUAAAGGAGAAAGAUGGCCUCUUUGCUGUCGUUGAAGGAUGAGCCUGCGUACUAUUAGCUAGUUGGUAGGGCAACGGCCUACCAAGGCGAUGAUGGUUAACCGGCCUGAGAGGGUGUACGGUCACACUGGAACUUAGACACGGUCCAGACUCCUACGGGAGGCAGCAGUGAGGAAUCUUGCGCAAUGGGCGAAAGCCUGACGCAGCGACGCCGCGUGCGGGAAGAAGGCCUUCGGGUUGUAAACCGCUUUCAGGAGGGACGAAGCCACUCGGGUUAAUAGCCCAGAGGGUGACGGUACCUCCAGAAGAAGCCCCGGCUAACUACGUGCCAGCAGCCGCCGCCG
rnacentral:rRNA from 1 species